CCAAUUUCCAAUAGCGGAGGAAAAGAAACCAACAGGGAUUGCCUUAGUAGCGGCGAGUGAAGCGGCAAAAGCUCAAAUUUGAAAUCUGGCACCUUCGGUGUCCGAGUUGUAAUUUGAAGAUUGUAACCUUGGGGUUGGCUCUUGUCUAUGUUUCUUGGAACAGGACGUCACAGAGGGUGAGAAUCCCGUGCGAUGAGAUGCCCAAUCCUAUGUAAGGUGCUUUCGAAGAGUCGAGUUGUUUGGGAAUGCAGCUCUAAGUGGGUGGUAAAUUCCAUCUAAAGCUAAAUAUUGGCGAGAGACCGAUAGCGAACAAGUACAGUGAUGGAAAGAUGAAAAGAACUUUGAAAAGAGAGUGAAAAAGUACGUGAAAUUGUUGAAAGGGAAGGGUUUGAGAUCAGACUCGAUAUUUUGUGAGCCUUGCCUUCGUGGCGGGGUGACCCGCAGCUUAUCGGGCCAGCAUCGGUUUGGGCGGUAGGAUAAUGGCGUAGGAAUGUGACUUUGCUUCGGUGAAGUGUUAUAGCCUGCGUUGAUGCUGCCUGCUCUAUGACCGAUGGACUGCGAUUAUCAAGGACUCG
rnacentral:rRNA from 1 species